CAAAAACAUGUCUUUUUGUUAUUUAUAUAAAGUCUAACCUGCCCACUGAAUUUUUGAAUGGCCGCAGUAUAUUGACUGUGCAAAGGUAGCAUAAUCAUUAGUCUUUUAAUUGAAGGCUGGAAUGAAUGGUUGGAUAAAAAAUAAUCUGUUUCAUUAAAAUUUAUUUUGAAUUUUAUUUUUUAGUUAAAAAGCUGAAAUUUUAUUAAAAGACGAGAAGACCCUAUAGAUCUUUAUAUUUAAUUAUUUCAUAGUUAUUAAGAUUAUUUUUAUUAUGAUUUAUUUGAGUAUUUUAUUGGGGUGAUGAUAAAAUUUAUUUAACUUUUGUUUAUUUUUUACAUUUAUUUUUGAUGCUUUGUUUGAUCCAUUAUUAUUGAUUAAAAAAUUAAGUUACCUUAGGGAUAACAGCGUAAUUUUUUUUGAGAGUUCAUAUCGAAAAAAAAGAUUGCGACCUCGAUGUUGGAUUAAGGGAGAAUUUAGGUGUAGCAGUUUAAUUUUUCAAGUCUGUUCGACUUUUGAUUCCUUACAUGAUCU
rnacentral:rRNA from 1 species